UUGAAAUAAAACUGAUGGGUUGUUGCUGGCUCUCCAGGGAGCAUGUGCACACCUUGUCAUCUUUAUAUCUCCACCUGUGCACUUUUUGUAGACCUUUUUAGGUCUAUGUUGCUUCAUUUUACCCCCAAUGUAUGUUAAUAGAAUGUUGUGCCUAUGUAAUAUAUA
rnacentral:misc_RNA from 1 species